AUUGAACGCUGGCGGCAGGCCUAACACAUGCAAGUCGAGCGGAUGAAGGGAGCUUGCUCCUGGAUUCAGCGGCGGACGGGUGAGUAAUGCCUAGGAAUCUGCCUGGUAGUGGGGGAUAACGUCCGGAAACGGGCGCUAAUACCGCAUACGUCCUGAGGGAGAAAGUGGGGGAUCUUCGGACCUCACGCUAUCAGAUGAGCCUAGGUCGGAUUAGCUAGUUGGUGGGGUAAAGGCCUACCAAGGCGACGAUCCGUAACUGGUCUGAGAGGAUGAUCAGUCACACUGGAACUGAGACACGGUCCAGACUCCGACGGGAGGCAGCAGUGGGGAAUAUGGGACAAUGGGCGAAAGCCUGAUCCAGCCAUGCCGCGUGUGUGAAGAAGGUCUUCGGAUUGUAAAGCACUUUAAGUUGGGAGGAAGGGCAGUAAGUUAAUACCUUGCUGUUUUGACGUUACCAACAGAAUAAGCACCGGCUAACUUCG
rnacentral:rRNA from 1 species